rnacentral:rRNA from 1 species
AUGAACGCUGGCGGCGUGGAUAAGGCAUGCAAGUCAAGGGGGCCCGCAAGGGCCACCGGCAAACGAGUUAGUAACACGUAGGUACGACCCCAGAAGUCAGGAAUAGUCCGUCGAAAGACGGGGUAAUACCUGAUGGUCUCUUAGGAGUAAAGAUUUAUCGCUUCUGGAUCGGCCUGCGGAGUAUCAGCUAGUUGGUAGGGUAAUGGCCUACCAAGGCGAUGACGCUUAGGGGAGCUGAGAGGCUGACCCCCAACGAUGGUACUGAGCCACGGACCAUACACCUACGGGUGGCUGCAGUCGAGAAACUUCCGCAAUGGGCGAAAGCCUGACGGAGCGACGCCGCGUGACUGAUGAAGUCCUUAGGGACGUAAAGGUCUUUUAUAGGGGAGAAAAUCCGGGCUUGCUCGGAUGUGAUAGUACCCUAGGAAUAAGAGGUUGCCAACCUCGU